rnacentral:rRNA from 1 species
CCUACGGGAGGCUGCAGUGAGGAAUAUUGGUCAAUGGGCGCUAGCCUGAACCAGCCAAGUAGCGUGAAGGAUGACUGCCCUAUGGGUUGUAAACUUCUUUUAUAUGGGAAUAAAGUGCAGUAUGUAUACUGCUUUGCAUGUACCUUAUGAAUAAGGAUCGGCUAACUCCGUGCCAGCAGCCGCGGUCAUACGGAGGAUGCGAGCGUUAUCCGGAUUUAUUGGGUUUAAAGGGUGCGCAGGCGGCGAGUUAAGUCAGGGGUAAAAUUUCGGGGCCCAACCCCGACAAGCCGUUGAAACUGGCUUGCUAGAGGGGGCGAGAAGUAUGCGGAAUGCGGGGUGUAGCGGUGAAAUGCAUAGAUAUCACGCAGAACUCCGAUUGCGAAGGCAGCAUACCGGCGCCCAACUGACGCUCAGGCACGAAAGCGUGGGUAUCGAACAGGAUUAGAUACCCUGGUAGUC